ACACAUUUGGGGCACAAAAACAUAGCCACCUCUUUUCAAAUCAAACACGACGAUAAAGACCGGACUCUGUAGGUCUACAUUUUGUGAUCCCAUGGGUUUUAAAUUCACCAAAUCAUUUCACACUGGACGGCGCUCUCCCAUACCAAUGAUGUGCAGUGCGCAUUGGGCACCUUCAAAAAAAGCAUCAGUUAUUUGAGGACAAUGAUCCAACACACCUCCAGGCUGUGUAAGGGCUGUUUGACCAAGAAGGAGAGUGCUGCAUCAGAUGACCUGGCCCUCACAAUCACAUGACCACAACCUAAUUGAGAUGGUUUGGGAUGAGUGGGACCGCAGAGUGAAGAAAAAGCAGCCAACAAGUGCUCAGCAUAUGUUGGAACUCCUUCAAGACUGUUGAAAAAGUAUUCCAAGCGAAACUGGUUGAGGGAAUGCCAAGAGUGUGCAAAGCUGUCAUCAAGGCAAAGGGUGGCUACUUUUAAGAAUCUCAAAUAUGAAAUCUAUUUUCAUUUGUUUAACACUUUUUUUUGUUUACUAC
rnacentral:lncRNA from 1 species